rnacentral:lncRNA from 1 species
GGAGAGAAGAUCGAGAGAAAAUCCGCGUUUCCCUAGUUGACUUGCUUUUUUUGUCUUCCGGUAUAUUUUUUUUUGUUUUAACAAUUGAGGAUUGUAUUAACGAAAAGGUCAAUCAAACCUCAUAAAGAGCAUGGAACAACACGCCGCUGCGCUCACUUGACCGCAUGAAUCUUCGCGCUGCUUACCAUUUAUUUAAUGUUCCUCUUCAUUAGUUUAAACUAAUCAUAAUGAGAAAGCAUCUCAAGUUGUUAACCAUAGUUAAUCGUUGACAAGGAAAAGAAAAACCUAGUUAAUGACUUAACGUGUCAAC